CCUACGGGAGGCUGCAGUCGAGAAUCAUUCACAAUGGGGGAAACCCUGAUGGUGCGACGCCGCGUGGGGGAAUGAAGGUCUUCGGAUUGUAAACCCCUGUCAUGUGGGAGCAAAUUAAAAAGAUAGUACCACAAGAGGAAGAGACGGCUAACUCUGUGCCAGCAGCCGCGGUAAUACAGAGGUCUCAAGCGUUGUUCGGAAUCACUGGGCGUAAAGCGUGCGUAGGCUGUUUCGUAAGUCGUGUGUGAAAGGCGCGGGCUCAACCCGCGGAAGGCACAUGAUACUGCGAGACUAGAGUAAUGGAGGGGGAACCGGAAUUCUCGGUGUAGCAGUGAAAUGCGUAGAUAUCGAGAGGAACACUCGUGGCGAAGGCGGGUUCCUAGACAGUAACUGACGCUGAGGCACGAAGGCCAGGGGAGCGAAAGGGAUUAGAUACCCGAGUAGUC
rnacentral:rRNA from 1 species